AUUGAACGCUGGCGGCAGGCCUAACACAUGCAAGUCGAGCGGCAGCGGGAAAGUAGCUUGCUACUUUUGCCGGCGAGCGGCGGACGGGUGAGUAAUGCCUGGGAAAUUGCCCAGUCGAGGGGGAUAACAGUUGGAAACGACUGCUAAUACCGCAUACGCCCUACGGGGGAAAGCAGGGGACCUUCGGGCCUUGCGCGAUUGGAUAUGCCCAGGUGGGAUUAGCUAGUUGGUGAGGUAAUGGCUCACCAGGGCGACGAUCCCUAGCUGGGCUGGGGGGAUGGUCAGCCACACUGGAACUGAGACACGGUCCAGACUCCUACGGGAGGCAGCAGUGGGGAAUAUUGCACAAUGGGGGAAACCCUGAUGCAGCCAUGCCGCGUGUGUGAAGAAGGCCUUCGGGUUGUAAAGCACUUUCAGCGAGGAGGAAAGGUCAGUAGCUAAUACCUGCUGGCUGUGACGUUACUCGCAGAAGAAGCACCGGCUAACUCCGUGCCAGCAGCCGCAGUAACAC
rnacentral:rRNA from 1 species